rnacentral:rRNA from 1 species
AUUGAACGCUGGCGGCAUGCUUUACACAUGCAAGUCGAACGGUAACAGGGAGCUUGCUCCGCUGACGAGUGGCGAACGGGUGAGUAAUGCGUCGGAACGUGCCGAGUAGUGGGGGAUAACGCAGCGAAAGUUGUGCUAAUACCGCAUACGUACUGAGGUAGAAAGUGGGGGACCUUCGGGCCUCACGCUAUUCGAGCGGCCGACGUCUGAUUAGCUAGUAGGUGAGGUAAAGGCUCACCUAGGCGACGAUCAGUAGCGGGUCUGAGAGGAUGUUCCGCCACACUGGGACUGAGACACGGCCCAGACUCCUACGGGAGGCAGCAGUGGGGAAUUUUGGAGAAUGGGCGAAAGCCUGAUCCAGCCAUGCCGCGUGUCUGAAGAAGGCCUUCGGGUUGUAAAGGACUUUUGUCGGGGAGGAAAUCCCCAGCGCUAAUACCGCUGGGGGAUGACAGUACCUGAAGAAUAAGCACCGGCUAACUACGUGCCAGCCGCCGCCGUAACAC